AAUAAUUUCUAAUACAACCUGCAUACCAUUCUAACUCAUUCAAACUCAUCAUCAUCACUUUCACGAUUAAUCAAUACAAUACAUGCAUAAUUUCAUCAUGCAUCAAACACCAUGAAUAAAAUCCCUAUUUUACAAUUUUUUUAAUUUAACGAAAUUUGAUUAUUAAUUACCAUUUCUCAAUUUCUUAAAUUUAUUCAGUUUCCCUUAAACUUUUGAUUUUGAAUGCAUUUUGUUUUCAAAAACAUGCAAAUGGGGCUUCAGUUUAGUUACUAGAUAUACUUACCAUCCAAAGAUGAUUAUGCUUCGAACGUUCUUCCCCAAUGUCGUUAUGCAUACAUGAAACUAAGUACCGAUUAUAGAAAAAUUUCUAAUUUUAUUACCGAAAUGAAUCUACUUAACCCAAAUUUAAUCCUAAUUUAAUUAAGUGAAAUUGAGCAAUCUUAAUCUAACACUAAACGGUGUUAAAGUCUAAAAGGAUCAGGUUUUCGAAUUUACCUUGAAUCAGUUUGGGAUUCCUAAAUAAAACACAUCUCCGUUUGUCAUACGAAGUAGUUGGAUUAGAUCAAGGAACCUGCAGUAGAAAAUCAAAUCGGUUAGAGGCCGAUCAAUGCGGUCAAACUUAAAACAAAAAUAACGAAACUUAUCUUAGUAGUGGCAGAAGGAGGCGCGGGUUGCAGCCUCUAGGUUUCCUCCCACACUGUCGCACGCCAACCUGCAGCUAAGUCAUGCAUCCCAACGCGAUCAGCUACCUAGAUAUUACCAUACAGUUGCCACGCACACCAGAUCCUACAAAGUUUACAGAUCUGGAUUCUUAUUGUUGGGGCACAACCGUCUGCGUUUGUGAGAAUAGUCACCCAAACACGCUGGCACAGCCGCUCUUGCGUAUGCGGGCUCCCAUGUUCACAUUCACAUUUCUCCUCUCUUUCUCUACCUUGCAACCUCAGUUGCUCAUGAAUAUCUCUUUCCCCCUUCCCACUCGCGGGCAAUAGCCACUUUGCGAGCUCCAACUCAUCUUCCCUCUUUUUUCCUUCUCCCUCGACUUUCUUCUCCUCUCUCUUUCCUUUCUUUCCUUCCCCGUUCAUGAUUGCCCAUCGCAAGCUCCUCCCUCUUCUCUCCUCUCUUGAACCCCUUCAUCUUCUUUUUUCCUUCUUUUUUUGUUUUUCUUUUUUUAAUAAAAUUGCCAGUGCCGAUCCCUUUUUCUCCUCCCUCUGGCUUGUAGUGGCAGCUGCAAGCUGUUCACUCUAGGUGGAGAUCACGGCUGCGUAAUCUCCCUUCCUUCUCACUUGUCGGCCAUUUUGGCCUAAGUGAGAGGAAACCAUGUGAGGGGUUUUCCUUAAAUAAGUCAGUUUUCAGCCAUCAGAUCUCCUUUCAUGAAAUCUGGGUCGUUAGUUUCGCAGGGGGGCAAAACCGUCCAUUCACGAUCGAGAUGCGAUCUCAGCCGUUGAACCAAAAUCUCUUAUAUCAUGGUCGUACGAUCUAGGGCUUAAUUAAUGGUCUUUUGGUCAUUUUAUACCCUUUGAAAGCUCGAUCCUUUAAUAAGAUCUAUGCAUGAUUUUAGUCUUUCGUUUGAAUUUCAAACAAGAUACAAUAUAGGUUGUUCGAUCGGAUUGAGUGGGAAGUAUUUUUGGUCAUUAGAUCAUGAUCCAUGCGAGAGUUCAUUCUAGUCGUCUAAUCGCAACGAACACAGACCGUUAGAUCUCAUGCGUAGAUGGCUUCCUAACCGUUGGAUUGGCUAGGGCGAGAACACCCACAAGAUCACAAUCCUGGCAUGAGGAAUCCCUGACCGCACGAUCUGCAUCCGCAACAUGCAAACCACUCUAUCAUAUCGCCGUGUAGAUGUCACGCAUGCGUAUGCACACUUGCGUAUUCGCCACACAGCGUGUGGCCAUUGGCCCCAUGGCCACGUCACACACUAACAUGGCUGGAUUUUCAAUAAUUGCAGUAAGUUCCUGAUUUUGAAUUUUUGUUUCAUUUGGGUCCUUGGGCCCUAUUUUGGUGCCCAAAAAGCCCCCAAUUUUUUUAUUUUCCGCGUUUAAGUCCCUAACUUCCUAUUUAAUUUAAUUUUGGGUUUAAAACUAUUUUUAAAUUGUUUUAGUUAUUUAUUUUACAAUACUUAAUUUAAUUAAUUUCCUGUUUCCUUAAAAAUUAAUUUCUAAAUUUCUUAAUUUUCUAAAUAAAUUUAUUUUAUUAAUUUAUGAAAUAUUUUCUAAUUUCCUAAGUACUUAGUUGUAUUAAUUUACAAACCUUAAUAUUACCUAAUUCAUUUCACUAAUUUACAAUUCUUAAUAUUUUUAAUUUUCUUUUUAAUUUAUUUCAAAUUUUAGUUUUCUUUUAUAAAAUUCAGAGUCUUGUUGUGUGGGAUGUUAUAAUUAGACUAUCUUCCACAAGUUAGUUCAACAUUAUGAUCUAUAAUAAUCAUACCUAUGAUAUUUAUAGCAUUCAAUUUUAGAUUUGUCUACCAACUUAGGUUUUGAAUAAGCUAAAUGGUUGUUUUCAUUAUCUCUUCAUCUUCCUCGGGUAUGAGAAUAUUAAUUAUCUUUACCUUUCUGUGCCACAUUUGUUGAUUUUGUCAUUUUUCUUUCUCGACUAUAUCUUUUUAAUGGUGUAGAUUGAUUAUCAUAUAAGACUCGUAGAGUCUACUCAUCUUUGUUUGUUGCUUCAUUUUUUGUUCGUGAAUUACUAAAUAACCC
rnacentral:lncRNA from 1 species